CUGCUCCACAUUACAGCGUCCACGACUGGCGCCAGCUCCCUGAUCCCAGCACAGCAAAAUUCCAUCUGGGUCGGAGUGCAGGGAGUCACAGAGAGGACAACUAUCAGGAGAAGACCUCUGCUUUGGAGUUGGUCCUCAAAGUAGACAAUUGGGAAGAGAAGGAAGUUGGGCAAAACUGAUCCUUGCUGUGACACUGCAGAGGGGAGAAACAAACGUCUAGCGGGGAUUGUUCGAGCUGGUGUACAGCAACCCCGUGUACCUGCAACAAGCAAGCUGGCCCCUACCUUCUGCUUAGCAAGCCGAAUAAUAGUUAGCCAGUAUUGCCUCCCAUUACAACAGAAAAUUACGAACUGCAUCUCAAGUGCCCGGUGGAGUUUGAGAGGCAAUGACGAACAUCCAUUUCAAGACACUUCUUUUGGAUUAAGACAGUACUGACUCUGUGAAAAAAGGGAUUAAGAUACCUCACUGAAUUUCUUACAUAUUGCGACACUAUUGCACUUGACCUGUUUUUCUUCAGUGUAGAAUGUUUUGAUGUUUGUGAUUUGUUGUACAACGUCUUGAGAAGGAAAUGUUACUGUUUUUCAGGAACUCAAUGCUGUGGGAUGUUACGUUUAUGAUACAUUUUGAGUAAAAUAUUUAUUUUGAAAAUAGCAGCAGCAUGUUUUUAACUUUCCCAUUUUACUGCGUUUUCUAGUGUUAGCUAUAGUAGAAAAUCCAGAAUGGUUGAAGCUCUGUAUCUGACAUCUCCACAAACUGUUCAGCAGUGGGAAAGUGAAAUAUGCAGCUAUAUCUAUUCCUAUCGUAUUAGCAGUUAUGGUAUUUCUGUUGCUUUUAUGGCACCUUCUCUCACGAUCAGCUGAGCUCAUGAGAAACUAAGGAAGAAUCAUAAAAGUGUUGGUUGGAAGGAGCCCCAGCCUGACACUUGGACUAGGACUUACACCAGCAGUAGCUCAACUCAGCCUAUUGUAUGCAAAUAGCCAUUAACCACGUGUCCUCAAAACCAGACUUACUUUCAUUCCAGAUAGCCUUACCCAUAGCAGGGAGGCAACUUGCAAAUUAAAUGUAUUAAGGAAAACCAGGGACAGAUAAUACAAGAAUGCGACUUGUAACUGGUACCACUUAUUACUGAUACUGCUGCUUUGUUCCCAGUCCUAAGCAACAGGAUACAGACCUGAACCAGAGGCAAAGGCAGGCAGCGUAUUAUAUUUUAUUAGCAAUCCCUUAAUUUUGCCAGUAGGACUCUCAGUAAUCUCACAAUCAACAGAAAAUUUUUCAAAAACAGUAUGUUCUCUCACUUUCUCUACCAAAACCAAAAUACGUUACAAGGUCCAGUUUUCUAAACUUUAUAAACAGAUGCUAUUGCUUGUAUGUGAUUGUACCUCUCACCAAAUAC